UCUUUUUUAGUUAUCCUAAACCUAAACUCAUUUGUCCUUCUUCCACGACUAGAGAAUGAGUAGGGUACCUUUGUCGGAGUAGAAGAAAACCAUAUGUUCUUCGGAUUGCUUUGAUUUGUCUAACUAAGGGGAGAGUUCAAGGUUAGAUGAUGACCGAGCAAAGAAGAGGUUAGCAGGGAAGAUAUUGAUCUGGAAAACGGUAGUAGUUGCUAAUUCAUCCAUUGAUGCAACUUCGAGAAAAUUACUGGUGUAGAUAAAUACAAAAGGUCUGAUUUUCAUCGAAGAUUCUAAUCUUGUACGCCUCCGAUCUUUUUUUUCCUGCACUAGAUGUAUACGGCGAAAUUGUAGGGUCCAAUUUCUCGUCAUCGAUGCACCUCAAAAUCAUGUCUCGAAGGCUCAAGACUACGUCCUAGCUUGGGUCAUUAACGUUCGACCUCGGGGCAGUGCAGAACAACGGUUAUGGUGAAAGUCGGUAGUUCCCAAGGCGUGCAGCUAGAGCCGACAAAGUCUGCCAGGCUAGUCCAAACGUGAAUCGGGGCAUCAACUAGCUGUCCCAUCUUCAUAUUUUUGUAAUUAAUAUAUUUUAUACUAUGUUGGGAUGCCCCCUCAUAUAUAAAGGGAAUCCUUGCCAUUUUGUGAACAUUUGUUGCUCCAUACUAAAUACUCAAGAACAUUUUCUCUACUAUCUUAC
rnacentral:lncRNA from 1 species